AAUAACAAAAGUGAUCUUGUUAAGCAGUUUUAGAGGUUUUUAGGGUAAGAAAGGGUGUCUUAGUGCAUAAUGUUGGGGGGGGGGUGGUUCAUUGAUACCUUAUUGGUCUAUUUUUUUCAGAAAUUCUAACCAUGGUGACCAAUUUUUACGCCAUUCUUUGAUUGUUGGGGAGGAGGAUGACUUCCAUUUCUGGGGAAUCAGCGAUUUUGCUGCCUGCAAGAGGUGUAAGUUGCUCCAUCUGGAAAAGGAUCCUGGUUCCAUACUGGGUUUGAAGUCUGCGUUGUACAUCAGUGGCUGUAGUACAUGAGGGUAAGUUGAUAAGUUAUAGACUUCUU